rnacentral:tRNA from 1 species
ACUCGGUUAGCUCAGUUGGUAGAGUAACGCCUUAAUAAGGCGGCGGUCGCGGGUUCGAUUCCGGCACCGAGUACCG